UAAGGAGGGGACAAACGUUGAUCGGAAUUAUUGGGCGUAAAGCGCGUGGAGGCGGCUAUUUCAGUCUGGGGUGAAAGGCCGGGGGCUAACCCCGGAAGUGCACUGGAUACUGGAUGGCUAGAGGACGGGAGAGGAGAGUGGAAUUCCUGGUGUAGGGGUGAAAUCCGUAGAUAUCAGGAGGAACAUCGGAAGCGAAGGCGGCUCUCUGGCCCGUAUCUGACGCUCCGACGCGAAAGCGUGGGUAGCAAACAGG
rnacentral:rRNA from 1 species